CUACUGUAUCGACUUUUAUAGCAAAAACCUCCUAACCAAUAGAGAUGUAAGCCGCUCACUAGCUAGGUGGAAAUUGCAUUACUAAUAACGUCAACAGAUGACAUGUCUUGUCACUGUCACUGUGAGAUGGUUUUUUAUGUUAACAUGACACCUGCGACAAGACAGGCUGUAGCGGUCCUUUUUGUUCAUCGCUAUGGGGAUCGGGCACGGUAGUUCUGCGCAUCAGGUGGUAUUCCUCCCGCCAGCAGUAUUUACCUCACGGAAAGAUAAUUGUAAACUAGGUUCGUUUUUGAGAUUUCGCUCGGUGCAAAAACAAAAUUAAUAGUGAAUUCUUAGUGCUCUGUCAAUGAAGAGAACAACAAGGAAUGCUGUAUGACAUAUUAAAGUGAAUUUGGAACAAAAAAAUAAAUAUAGAGUAAAUAUAUUGCCCUGGUUUGAUGUGGACAGCAGGCCACUUA